UACGAAGGGGGCUAGCGUUGUUCGGAAUUACUGGGCGUAAAGGGCGCGUAGGCGGCCUUCUAAGUCGAACGUGAAAUCCCCGGGCUCAACCCGGGAACUGCGUCCGAUACUGGAAGGCUUGAAUCCGGGAGAGGGAUGCGGAACUCCAGGUGUAGCGGUGAAAUGCGUAGAUAUCUGGAGGAACACCGGUGGCGAAGGCGGCAUCCUGGACCGGUAUUGACGCUGAGGCGCGAAAGCCAGGGGAGCAAACGGG
rnacentral:rRNA from 1 species